GAGAGUAUAGCUCAGUGGUAGAGUGCAUGCUUAGCAUGCGUGAGGUCCUGGGGUCAAUCCCUGGUACCUCCA
rnacentral:tRNA from 1 species